GUCAUCAUGGCCCUUACGACCAGGGCUACACACGUGCUACUAUGGCGCAUACAAAGAGAAGCGACCUCGCGAGAGCAAGCGGACCUCAUAAAGUGCGUCGUAGUCCGGAUUGGAGUCUGCAACUCGACUCCAUGAAGUCGGAAUCGCUAGUAAUCGUGGAUCAGAAUGCCACGGUGAAUACGUUCCCGGGCUUUGUACACACCGCCCGUCACACCAUGGGAGUGGGUUGC
rnacentral:rRNA from 1 species